GGGACAUUCGGUUUUUCACUAGAAGGUUGUUUCCAGUUUCUAUUGCAGGACAUUCGGUUUUUCACUAGAGGCCUCAAAAUGCUAAAAAGUAUCUCUGUAGAUUCUACAAAAAGAGUGUUCUGAACAAUGUUGAAUCAGAACAAAGGUUUAACUCUGUGAGAAGAAUCCACACAUUACAAAGCAUUUUCACAGAUAGCUGCUUUCCAUUUCUUAUCACAGGAAUUUCGGGGGUUUUUUUCCCCCAUAGGUUUCAAUGGUUUCAGAAAUGUUUCUUCGUAGAGUCUACAAAAAUAGUGUUUUUAACCUGUUGAAUUAAAACAAAGGCUUAAUUCUGUGAGAUGAAUCUACAAUUCACAAAGCAUUUUUGCAGAUAGCUUGUUUCUACUAUGUAUCACGGGAUAUUCGGUUUACCUUUAUAGGCCUAACUGGGCUAAGAAAUGUCCCUUUGUCUGUUCAACAAAAAGAGUGUUUCGAACCUGGUGAAUAAAAACAAAUGUUUAACCCUGAGACACUCAUCCACACUACACAAAGUAUUUUCGCAGAUAGAUUUUUUCUAGGUUUAUUGCAGGAUAUUUAGUUUUUCACUAUUGGCCUCAAUGGGUUCAGAAAUGACCCUUCGUAGCUUCUAUAACAAGAGUGUUUCCAGCCUGUUGAAUCAAAAUAAAGUUUGAAAUCUGUGAGAUGGAUCCAUGCAUCACACAGCAUUUUCACAAAUAGAUUGUUUCUAGAUAUUAAUGCAGGAGAUUCAUUUUUUCACUAUAGUCCUCAAGGGGCUCAUAAAUGUUUCUUUGUAGAUUCUACCAAAAGAGUGUUUCACCCUUGUUGAAUCAAAACGAAGGUUUAACUGAGUGAGAUGAAUUCACCCAUUGCAAAGCAUUUUCACAGCUAGCUUGUUUCUAGUUUUUGUCAUGAAGUAUUCAGUUGUCCACUAUAGUGUACAAUAGGGACAAAGAUAUUUCUUCAUAGAUUCUUAAAAUAGAGUGGUUCCAACCUGUUAAAUCAAAACAAAGGUUUAAUUCUGUGAAAUAAAUCUACACAUCUCAAAGCAUUUCCACGGAUAUCUUGUUUCUAGUUUUUAUUGCAGGAUAUUCAGUUUUUUGCUAUAAUCUCCAUAGGCUCAGAAUUGUCCCUUCGAAGAUACUACAAAAACAAGUUUUUUAACUUGUUGAAUCAAAACAUAGGUUUAACUCAGUGAGACGAAUCCACAUAUUGCAAAGCAUUUACACAGCUGUUUUGUUUCUAGUUUUUAUUGUGGGAUAUUCAUUUUUUUGCUAUUGGCCUCAAUGGGCUCAGAAAUGUCUCUUUGCAGAUUCUACAAAAAGAAGGUUUCAACUUGUUGAAUUAAAACAAAGUUUUAACUCUGCAAGAUAAAUUUGUACAUCACAAAAUUAUUUCACAGAGAGCUGGUUUCUGCUUUUUAUUGCAAGAGAUUCACUUCGCAAUAGGCCUCAACGGGCUCAGAAAUGUUUUUUCAUAGAUUCUACAAAAAGAGUGUUCUUAACCUGUUGAUUUAGAACAAAGGUCUAACUCUCGAUGAAUCCACACAUCAAAACUCAUUUUCAUAGUUUGUUUUAUAUUUUAAAAUGGGAUAUUAGCUUUUUCACUACAGACUUCAAUUGGCUCAGAAAUUUUUUUCAUAGACUCUACAAAAAGAAUGUUUCCAAGGUGUUGAAUAAAAACAAAGGUUAUCCCUGUGAGAUGAAUGAACGUAUCACACAGCAUUUUCCCACAGAGGUUGUUUCUAUUUUUGCUCACGGGAUUUUUGAUUUUUCACUAUAGGCUUCAAUGGGCUUUGAAAUGUCCCUUUAUAUAAUCUACUAAAACAGUGUUUCCAAUUUGUUCAAUCAAAACAAAGGUUUAAAUCUGUGACAUGAAUCCACAUAUUGCAAAGCAUUUUCACAGAUAGCUUUGUUUCUAGAUUUUAAGGUGCAUUAUACCUUUUUUUACUGUAGUUUUUAAUGGUCUCAGAAAUGUCCCUUUGUAGAUUCUACAAAAAAAGUGUUUCCAACAUGUUGAAUCAAAACAAAGCUUCAUCUCUGUGAGAUAAAUCCACACAUCACAGAGCAUUUUUGCAGAUAACUUGUUUCUAGUUUCUAUCCCGGGAUAUUUGGUAUAUCACUAUACACCUCAAUUGGCUAAGAAAUGUCCCUUCAUGCAUUCCACAAAAGAGUGUUUCCAAACUGGUGAAUCAAAACACAGGUUCCAUUUGGUGAGAUAAAUGCAUACAUCACAAAAAAUGUUCACAGAUAGCUUGUUUCCAGUUUUUAUUGACGGAUAUAUGGCUUCUUGCUAUAGGCCUCAAUGGGCUCAGAAAUAUUCCUUCGUAGAUUCUACAAAAAGAACGUUUCUAACCUGUUAAAUAAAAACAAAUGUUUAACUCUGUGAGAUUAACCCACACAUCGGGAACCAUUUACACGGAGAGCUUUUCUUCUAGCUUUUAUUGCAGGAUAUACAGUUUUUCUCUACAGGCCUCAGUGGGCUCAGAAACGUCUUUUCAUAGAUUCUACAAAAAGAGUGAUUUCAACCUGUUGGUUAAAAACAUAGUUUUAACUUUUUGAGAUAAAUCCAUACAUCACAAAGCAUUUUCACAGAUGGCUUGUUUCUAGAUUUUAUCACCAGAAAUUAGUUUUUUAACUAUAGGCUUCAAUGGGCUCAGAAAUGUCCCUACAUUUUUUACUGUAGGCCUCAAUGGGUCAGAAAUGUCCCUUCGUAGAUUCUACCAAAAAAGUGUUUUCAAGGUGUUGAAUUGAAACAAAGAUUUAACUCUGUGAGGAGAAGCCACACAUUGAAAAGGAUUUUCAGAGAUAGCUUGUUUCUAGUUCUUAUCGUGGAAUAUUCAAAUUUUACAAUAUGCCUCAAUGGGCUCAGAAAUGUCGCUUCAUAGAUUUCACAAAAAGUGUUUCCAACCUGGAGAAUCAAAACACAGGUUCCAUUGGGAGAGAUGAAUCCACACAUCACAAAACAUUUUUACAUAUAGCUUGUUUCUAGUUUUUAAUGCUGGAUAUUCAGUUUUUCACUAUAGGUCUCCGUGGGCUCAGAAGUGUCCUUUCAUAGAUUCUACAAAAAGACUUUUUCCUACCUGUUGAAUUAAAACAUAGUUUUAAAUCUGUGAGAUAAAUGCUCACAUCAUAAAUCAUCUUCACAGAUAGAUUGUUUCUAGAUUUUAAGGAAGGAUAUUCUGCUUUUCACUAUAGGCCUCAAUGGCCUCAGAAUGUCCCUUCAUAGAUGCUACAAAAAGAGUGUUUCCAAGGUGUUGAAUAAAAAUAUAAGUUUAACUCUGUGAGAUGAAUCCACACAUCACAAAGCAUUUUCACACAGGGCUCACUUCUAGUUUUUAUCAUGGGAUAUUCAGUUUUUCACUAUAGGCCUCAACGGACUUUGAAAUAUCUUUUUGUAGAUUCAACUAAAAGAGUGUUUUUAUCUUGUUGAAUCAAAAAAAAGGUUGAAAUCUGUGACAUGAAUGAAAAUAUUCUAAAGCAUUUUAACAGAUAGCUUGUUUCUAAAUAUUAAGGCAGGUUGUUUGAUUUUUUUACUAUAGUUCUUGAUGGUCUCAGAAAUGUCCCUCUGUACUUUCUACAAAAAAAAGUGUUUGCAGACUGUCAAAUCAAAAUAAAGGUUUAAUUCUGUAAGAUAAAUCCACACAUUGCAAAGCAUUUUUGGAAAUAGCUUUUUUCUAGCUUCUAUUAUGGGAUAUUUUGUUCAUCACUAUAGGCCUCAAUGGGCUGAGAAAUGUCCCUUCAUAGACUCUACAAAAAAGUGUUUCCAACCUGGUGAAUCAAAACACAGGUUCCAUUUGGUAAGAAGAAUCCACACACCAAUAAGCAUUUUGACAGAUAGUGUUUUUCUGUUUUUCUUCAUGGGAUCCUUGAUUUUUCACUACAGGCUCAAAGGGGCUCAGAAAUAUCCUUUGUAGAUUCUACAAAAUGAGUAUUUCCAACCUACUAAAUCAAAGCAUAGGUUCCAUCCAGUGAGAUGAAUCCACACAUUGCAAAGCAUUUUCACAGAUAUCUUUUCUCUAGUUUAUAUCACAGAAUGUUCAGUUUUCCACUAUAGGCCAAAAUUGGUUCAGAAAUGUUCCUUCAUAGAUUCUGCAAAAAGAGUGUUUGCAACCUGUUGAAUCAAAACAAAGCUGUAACUUUGUGAUAGGAAUACACACACAGCAAAGCAUUUUUACAGAUAGCUUGUUUCUAGUUUUUAUAGCAGAAUCCUCAAAUUUUUACUAUAGGCCUCAAUAAGCUCAAUUAUGUCCCCUCAUAGAUUCUACAAAAAGAGUGUUUCCAACUUGUUAAAUCAAAAUAAAUGUUUAACUCUGUGAGAUAAAUGCACACAACCCAAAGCAUUUUCACACAAG
rnacentral:lncRNA from 10 species